UGAGAACAACGUACAAACCUUAUCGAUAAACAAUUGGAGGGCAAGUCUGGUGCCAGCAGCCGCGGUAAUUCCAGCUCCAAUAGCGUAUAUUAACGUUGUUGCAGUUAAAAAGCUCGUAGUUGAAAUGAAGGGUAGUUGUGUAAUGAAUACAUUCGUGUAUUUUGUUAUUCUACUACCCUCCUUCUAAAUUCGAUAUAUGAGUAUUAAUUUACUUGUAUAUGGUUUUAGACGUUUACUGUGAGAAAAUUAGAGUGUUCAAAGCAGGCAUUUGCUUGAAUAUAUUAGCAUGGAAUAAUCAUGUAUGAUUUUCAUGAUGUAUUUGAUUGGUUUGGUUCAUGAGAAUAAGAUUAAAAGGGACAGUUGGGGGUAUUCAUAUUCAAUAGUCAGAGGUGAAAUUCUCGGAUUUAUGGAAGAUGAACAAGUGCCG
rnacentral:rRNA from 1 species